rnacentral:tRNA from 1 species
GGGGAAUUAGCUUAGUGGUAAAGACUAUUAGACGUUGGUUCGAUUCCAACAUUCUCCA